rnacentral:rRNA from 1 species
AGAGUUUGAUCCUGGCUCAGGAUGAACGCUAGCUACAGGCUUAACACAUGCAAGUCGAGGGAAACGAUAUUGGAAGCUUGCUCCGAUAGGCGUCGACCGGCGUACGGGUGAGUAACGCGUAUCCAACCUGCCCAUCACUUGGGGAUAACCUUGCGAAAGUAAGACUAAUACCCAAUGAUAUCUCUAGAAGACAUCUGAAAGAGAUUAAAGAUUUAUCGGUGAUGGAUGGGGAUGCGUCUGAUUAGCUUGUUGGCGGGGUAACGGCCCACCAAGGCAACGAUCAGUAGGGGUUCUGAGAGGAAGGUCCCCCCACAUUGGAACUGAGACACGGUCCAAACUCCUACGGGAGGCAGCA